rnacentral:rRNA from 1 species
GAUCAUGGCUCAGGAUGGACGCUAGCUACAGGCUUAACACAUGCAAGUCGAGGGGAAACGAUAUUGGAAGCUUGCUUCCGAUAGGCGUCGACCGGCGCACGGGUGAGCAACGCGUACCCAACCUGCCCACCACUUGGGGAUAACCUUGCGAAAGUAAGACUAAUACCCAAUGAUAUCUCUAGAAGACAUCUGAAAGAGAUUAAAGAUUUAUCGGUGAUGGAUGGGGAUGCGU